UACGUAGGGACCGAGCGUUGUCCGGAUUCAUUAGGCGUAAAGAGCUCGUAGGCGGCUGUUCAAGUCGAACGUGAAAACUCGGAGCUCAACUCCGAGCCUGCGUUCGAUACUGGACGGCUAGAGUCUGGUAGGGGGAUCUGGAAUUCCUGGUGUAGCGGUGGAAUGCGCAGAUAUCAGGAGGAACACCGGUGGCGAAGGCGGGAUCCUGGGCCAGUACUGACGCUGAGAAGCGAAAGCAUGGGGAGCGAACAGG
rnacentral:rRNA from 1 species